rnacentral:rRNA from 1 species
CCGCACAAGCAGUGAGUAUGUGGUUUAAUUCGAAGCAACGCGAAGAACUUACCAGGGCUUGACAUCCCUUGAAGCAGCUAGAGAUAGCUGUGUCCUUCGGGACAAGGAGACAGGUGGUGCAUGGUUGUCGUCAGCUCGUGUCGUGAGAUGUUGGGUUAAGUCCCGCAACGAGCGCAACCCCUACGUUUAGUUGCUAACAGGUGAAGCUGAGCACUCUAGACGAACUGCCGUUGACAAAACGGAGGAAGGUGGGAUGACGUCAAAUCAUCAUGCCCCUUAUGUUCUGGGCUACACACGUGCUACAAUGGCCGGUACAGACGGAGGCGAAGCCGCGAGGCGGAGCAAAUCCGAAAAAGCCGGUCUCAGUUCGGAUUGCAGGCUGCAAUUCGCCUGCAUGAAGUCGGAAUCGCUAGUAAUCGCAGGUCAGCAUACUGCGGUGAAUACGUUCCCGGGCCUU